rnacentral:rRNA from 1 species
GAAGGGCGUUUGGUGAAUGCCUUGGCAGUAAGAGGCGAUGAAGGACGUGAUACUCUGCGAUAAGCUUGGGGGAGCCGAGAAUAGGCUUUGAUCCCAGGAUCUCCGAAUGGGGCAACCCACUUGAUACUCUGUUAUUGUUAGCAUCACGCUGAUCAAUAACCGGGUAAACCAAGUACUUAAUACCUGAAUACAUAGGGUUUUAAGAGCGAACCCGGGGAACUGAAACAUCUAAGUACCCGGAGGAAAGGAAAUCAACAGAUACUCCCCUAGUAGCGGCGAGCGAACGGGGACCAGCCGAGCCUUGAGAGUGACCAGAACAAUCUGGAAAGAUUGACCAUAGUGGGUGACAGUCCCGUAUGGGAAGCUCGAUAGGACGUAUUAAGUAGGGCGGGACACGUGAAAUCCUGUCUGAACAUCGGAGGACCACCUUCGAAGGCUAAGUACUCCUUACUGACCGAUAGUGAACCAGUACCGUGAGGGAAAGGUGAAAAGCACCCCGACGAGGGGAGUGAAACAGUACCUGAAACCGAACGCCUACAAUCAGUCGGAGGCUCCUUGCGAGCUGACGGCGUACCUUUUGUAUAAUGGGUCAUCGACUUGGUCUCACGAGCAAGCUUAAGCCGUUAGGUGUAGGCGCAGCGAAAGCGAGUCUUAAUAGGGCGAAUGAGUUCGUGGGAUCAGACCCGAAACCGAGUGAUCUAGGCAUGACCAGGCUGAAGGUAAGGUAACACUUACUGGAGGGCCGAACCCACACCUGUUGAAAAAGGUCGGGAUGAGUUGUGCCUAGGGGUGAAAGGCCAAUCAAACUCGGAGAUAGCUGGUUCUCUGCGAAAUCUAUUUAGGUAGAGCGUCAUCCGAAUACCCCGGGGGGUAGAGCACUGGAUGGGUAAUGGGGCCCCACAGGCUUACUGAUCCUAACCAAACUCCGAAUACCCGGGAGUACUAGAUGGCAGACACACUGCGGAUGCUAACGUCCGUAGUGGAGAGGGAAACAACCCUGACCUCCAGCUAAGGCCCCUAAUUCAUGGCUAAGUGGGAAAGCAGGUGGGACGACCAAAACAACCAGGAGGUUGGCUUAGAAGCAGCCAUCCUUUAAAGAUAGCGUAACAGCUCACUGGUCUAAAUAAGUUGUCCUGCGGCGAAGAUGUAACGGGGCUCAAGCCAUGAGCCGAAGCUGAGGAUGCACAUAGUGCAUGGUAGCAGAGCGUAGUGU